ACAAAUCGUAAAUGUAGGAAACGUGGUAUGAAAAAGUUUAUUAUCUUCCCUACAGAUAAAUCAAAAAAGAGGGAGGACCGGUCUAGACUGCACAUUUUUAAUAAUUAAGGUCAAUGCGUGAAAGGUGGGUUUGAUGGUUGAUUGGAUAAAUCAAAUGUUAUUUCGGACAAAAACGUUAGUGCGGAAUAUCUAUUUGAUUAAAAAUGCACGAGGAGUAACCAUAUCGCACAACGUGUGACCUGUUGGAAAAAGGGGUGAAAAUUGGUAAAUCCGCUGGAAAUAGAUAAGCUUGGAUUUCUUCGUGUGAUGCCGUUUUUUUCAUCUACUCCACUAUCAUGCGGAAGGAUUGCGCACUUGUUCAGUUGCGUGUUUUUGCUUAACGAUAGAAAAAACUCGUGUACCUCCAUUUAGGACUUUUGUGCCACCACAUCGCAUGGUUGAAGUGGAAAGUCGUACUUGACCGAAAAAGUGGGGAUGAAAUUGGGUACCAAGUGGGGUGCAUGGAAUUAAAUGGUCAAGAGCACAACGUGCAGAGCAUAUGGAAAAAACGAGUAGCACGUUAUAGUGCCAAAAAUAGAAGUUUCACUACAGGAGUGAGAAUGAGAGUGAGGAGAGGUAUAGAAAGAAUGUGAGACAAUAUAGUUAGUAUAUGUGAAAGUGAGAGUAAAAGGUAUAAGUGUUACUAUAUGAGUAUGGAUGAGGAUGAGGGAAAAGGUAGAAAAGAGAUGACUGUCUAUGUAUUGUCAUACAUAUUGUUAUUUACAAACACAUCCUCUACGUUUCUUAUUCUCUCACGACGACAUACAGGUGAACGAAGUUUUUCAAUAAUUUUAGAGGUUUGAGGGUUGAGUUGUAUUCAUUGCUUACUUGUAGUUUGCU